rnacentral:rRNA from 1 species
UACGUAGGGUGCAAGCGUUAAUCGGAAUUACUGGGCGUAAAGCGUGCGCAGGCGGUUGUGCAAUACCGAUGUGAAAUCCCCGGGCUUAACCUGGGAAUGGCAUUGGUGACUGCACGGCUAGAGUGUGUCAGAGGGGGGUAGAAUUCCACGUGUAGCAGUGAAAUGCGUAGAGAUGUGGAGGAAUACCGAUGGCGAAGGCAGCCCCCUGGGAUAACACUGACGCCCAUGCACGAAAGCGUGGGGAGCAAACAGG